AGCUACGACACACUCACACAGAUAAGAUCUAAAAGAAGAGCCACAUAUUUCAACAAUAGAUCCUCCAGAGACCGGUAGAACCUCAGAACCAUCCUGGAUUACUACAAACACAAGCUAGCGAGCUACUGCAGCAUCCCAGUCAGGAGGAAUUAUUCUGCUGAUCUGUCGAUUAAGUUUGUUCUGGAGUUAUUUCAAUAUAAACACGCAGCGGUUCAACUGGCAGCACGUUCUUUUAUCUAUAGAUUAGUGAAUUAUAUUGGGACGGUAUGUGUCACGGUCUGGGGGUGUCAUCUUUCUCUGAUUUACUUUUUGAGCUUCCUUUCCUCUGCAGGUGGGCGUGUCCGGUUGUGGGGAAGUUGCUAGCAGCUGCAAGCAAUCCACUCAUCACCUGCCAGGGGAUAUUUAAGCACCUGAGAGGCGGCUUCACUUUGCUGGAUGAUUAACUCUACUUGGGUACUCAACUAACAGCCGAACAACUUGUAUCUCCUAGUGAUUUGACUUUUAUCUGGAUUUUGAGCUCUUCAUGAUUUUUGACCACUUGUCUUCCUACCUUUUCACCCAGACAUCCUGUUACAAUAACUACCUGGUCAACCUGCCAUUCGCCUCUCAGCGUCCUCCCAUGGUCUCCCCCACGCCGGCUCCCCACCUUCCUCCUGGAUCUCCUGCUCAGUAAUUGCUCAGCUCCCUCCUCGCCUGGACUCUCAGCUUCCUCUAACUCAGUAAGCCAUCUGCUUCACCCCCAGACCAGACAACCAACCUCUCCCGAACAUUCUAACUGAACCUUCAGACCACUCCCCCCACCGGAUCCCAGCAGUCCAGCCUGACAUUUUGUUCCUGCAAUUUCUCCUUUAUAAUAAAUCAUUAUUUAACUCUAA